rnacentral:rRNA from 1 species
UACGUAGGGACCAAGCGUUGUUCGGAUUUACUGGGCGUAAAGGGCGCGUAGGCGGCGCGGUAAGUCACUUGUGAAAUCUCUGAGCCUAACUCAGAACGGCCAAGUGAUACUGCAGUGCUAGAGUGUGGAAGGGGCAAUCGGAAUUCUUGGUGUAGCGGUGAAAUGCGUAGAUAUCAAGAGGAACACCUGAGGUGAAGACGGGUUGCUGGGCCAACACUGACGCUGAUGCGCGAAAGCCAGGGGAGCAAACGGG